rnacentral:rRNA from 1 species
UACGAACCGUCCAAACGUUAUUCGGAAUCACUGGGCUUAAAGGGUGCGUAGGCUGCUGGAUAAGUUGGGUGUGAAAUACCUCGGCUCAACCGAGGAAUUGCGCCCAAUACUGUUCAGCUUGAGGGAGACAGAGGUAAGCGGAACUUAGGGUGGAGCGGUGAAAUGCGUUGAUAUCCUAAGGAACACCGGUGGCGAAAGCGGCUUACUGGGUCUCUUCUGACGCUGAGGCACGAAAGCUAGGGGAG